CUUCUGAAUUGGAAGUUAUAACUCCAACUAUAUUGUAUACUUAUAUUGUCUAAGUCAUCUCCAUAGACUCCUUAAGUUCUUUUUUUUACAGUUAGCAUCUUUUUUGAAAGCAACUUUUUAACCUGUGUGUUAAGCACAUCAUAAAUCAGGUUUAACUCAGCAAUGUAUGGAACAAUUUUUUAAGCCAAGGUUAUGUUUUGUCCAUUUUGUGGUGGGAACCUUCAUGUCGUUCUGUCCUAUUGUGGCUCAUGUGGCAGAAAUAUUCAGUUUUUAAGGAGUCAUCAAGAUGACGAUCCUGAAACCACAACUGGAGAUAUUAUAUAGGCCUGACCAGGAGGACAAAGUACACACCAAUUGCUACUGUACAGGCAGCUAUUUCUGAUGUACUUAAGGGAUCAGGCCAACUGCUGGGUUACCGAGCGAUGUGGCAGACCCUUAAACAGAAGUAUUAUCUCAUCGUCAGAAGAGGGGAUGUGAUGCGACUAAUGGGAGAAUUGGAUCUGCUGCAGUAGAAAACAGGUCUAGACGAAGAUUUGUCCGCAGAGCAUAUCAUUCAGUGGGACCCAAUGAAAUUUGGCAUGUUGAUGGGUACAACAAAUUAAAACCCUAUGGUAUUGCGAUAAGUGGCUGCAUUGAUGGGUUCUGCAGAAAAAUCAUGUGGCUCAAAUGUGGGAAGUCCAACAAUGAUCCUAGGAUCAUUGCUCAAGAUUAUAUGCAGUGUAUUUCUGAGUUUGGAGUUUUUCCAAUGCGCCUCCGGACUGACUGCGGAACAGAAAAUGGACUGAUGGCAGCACUUCACUGUUCCUUGAGAUCAUUGCACACAGAUGAAUUUGCAGGAGCCAAAAGCCACAUGUAUGGGACUUCAACAUCCAACUAACGUAUUGAAAGCUGGUGGUCCUACUUUUGGAAACAAAGGAGUCAGUUUUGGAUGGAUCUGUUCAAUGACUUGAGGGAAAGGAACCUCGUCAAUGGUAGCAGACAACACAUGAGUCUGGUGCGAUACUGUUUCCCGGGUGUCCUUCAGAAAGAACUGGACGAAUACAAGCAACCAUGGAAUACUCACACUAUUCGUCCUGUUCGCCAGUCCAAGUGCCCAUCUGGUAAACCAGAGGCUAUGUAUCACGUGCCUCACAGAUUCAAAGGCAGAAAUUGUGGAUUCCCUGCAUCUGCACAAGCCCUGAGCCAUUUCAACACCCUCAUGCCCAUAGCAGGAACUCCAACUGAUGAUGAACAGGAAAAUUGGUUUGAAGAACUGCAGCGACAAAGUGGUUUACCACCACCUCUUCAAUGGGAAGCUGCUGUAGAAAUCUACAUCACUCUGAAGAACAUGGCUGAUAUAUAAAAUGUUAAGACUGUAAAAUACACAACAACCCUUUUCAUAACUUUGAAUACAAUGUAAACAGAAAAGUCAGUCAGGUCUUGUUUAUUUUCAGUAGCAAUACAGAGACUGUUGCUUAAAAUCAACAGCAGUUAUUCAUACAAUCUGACAAAAUAAAGAAUAUGUUAUAAACAG